rnacentral:lncRNA from 1 species
GAUUGAGUGGUUAAGUGUGUAGCGUAUUUACUUAAGGUUUUGUGUUUGAGUCUCUAUAUGCAUAAGAAAUAUUUUAUCUUCUUCAUUCUCUAGCAAGAUGGUGGGGUUUGGAUUAAAAUUUCUUUUUCCAAAAUAUCCCAUGUUUUCCUUGUUUCAAGUCCAUUUUGUUUUUAUUUUAUUUUUAUUCAUUUUCUUUUUCUGUUUCUCACCUUUCAUUAAUUGCUUUUCUUUUUCAUUUAAUUUUCUUUCUCCCUUCCUACUUUUUUCUCCUAUUCGUUUCUUUUUUGCUCUUUUGUUUUGUGUUCUUUCUCCUGUUGCC